rnacentral:tRNA from 1 species
GGCCUGUUGGUCCAAUGGCGAAGACGCCGGGUUGUCUCCCCGGAAACAAGAGUUCAAUUCUCUUACAGGCCG